rnacentral:rRNA from 1 species
AAUAUCAAAGGUGAGCCAGUACAGGAUGGACCCGCGUCUGAUUAGCUAGUUGGUAAGGUAACGGCUUACCAAGGCGACGAUCAGUAGCCGACCUGAGAGGGUGAUCGGCCACAUUGGAACUGAGACACGGUCCAAACUCCUACGGGAGGCAGCAGUGGGGAAUAUUGCACAAUGGGCGAAAGCCUGAUGCAGCAACGCCGCGUGAGUGAUGAAGGCCUUCGGGUCGUAAAACUCUGUCCUCAAGGAAGAUAAUGACGGUACUUGAGGAGGAAGCCCCGGCUAACUACGUGCCAGCAGCCGCGGUAAUACGUAGGGGGCUAGCGUUAUCCGGAUUUACUGGGCGUAAAGGGUGCGUAGGCGGUCUUUCAAGUCAGGAGUGAAAGGCUACGGCUCAACCGUAGUAAGCUCUUGAAACUGGGAGACUUGAGUGCAGGAGAGGAGAGUGGAAUUCCUAGUGUAGCGGUGAAAUGCGUAGAUAUUAGGAGGAACACCAGUUGCGAAGGCGGCUCUCUGGACUGUAACUGACGCUGAGGCACGAAAGCGUGGGGAGCAAACAGGAUUAGAUACCCUGGUAGUCCACGCUGUAAACGAUGAGUACUAGGUGUCGGGGGUUACCCCCUUCGGUGCCGCAGCUAACGCAUUAAGUACUCCGCCUGGGAAGUACGCUCGCAAGAG